CGCCCGUGACUCGGAGAAAAGUCCAUUGAACCUUAUCAUUUAGAGGAAGGAGAAGUCGUAACAAGGUUUCCGUAGGUGAACCUGCGGAAGGAUCAUUG
rnacentral:rRNA from 1 species